CGUGUCGUCGCCUUUCCUGGAGGGUUUCUUGGUGGCCCGUGACAGCUUCCUCCUGAACGUAUCGCCGGCCAGGAAGUACAGGAUGGGGUCCACGCAGCUGUUGAGGCUCGCCAGGCCGCGCGUCACCUGGUUCUCUUUCCCACGAGAGUCCACAUUCCAGACGCCCGCUGAGCUCAGCUGGCUUGAACAUCAGUGCGUGAGCUUUGCGCACGUGCAUUCGGUCAGUUAAUGCUUGUUCUUUUCUCCAUGUGCUUUGUCUCCGUUACCCUCUCUUUGCAAUGCGCCACAUCCCCGAUGCCAUUAUUUUAUGACUUGUACAUACAUCACAUGAAAUGGAGAGAGAGCGUGAUGGAUGAUCAGAAAUCCGGUGUCUUGACCUGCUGAUGGAGCAAUGCAUCAGCUGUCAUUCAGCCAAGCUCCUGGUUCAUAAUAUAACCCCAACACACACACACACACACACACACACACACACACACACACACACACACACACACACACACACACACACACACACACACAAUUACAC